GGAAGUAAAAAAUCGUAACAAGGUCUCCGUUGGUGAACCAGCGGAGGGAUCAUUAGCGAGUAUAACUCUCUAAAACCAUUGUGAACGAACGAACCCGUUGCUUCGGCGGACGGCUUUGCCGCCGCCGGAAGAACGUAAACUCUUGUUAUUAUUGUUUCUCUGAGUACUUAUUCAAUAAGUAAAAACUUUCAACAACGGAUCUCUUGGUUCUGGCAUCGAUGAAGAACGCAGCGAAAUGCGAUAAGUAAUGUGAAUUGCAGAAUUCAGUGAAUCAUCGAAUCUUUGAACGCACAUUGCGCCCGCCAGUAUUCUGGCGGGCAUGCCUGUUCGAGCGUCAUUUCAACCAUCAAGCCAUAGGCUUGUGUUGGGGACCUGCAGCUGCUGCAGCCCCCUAAAAGCAGUGGCGGACUUGCUGUCAUUCCGAGCGCAGUAGUUACAUCUCGCUCUGGGUAUGGCGGCGUGCACUUGCCGUGAAACACUUUCUAAGGUGACCUCGGA
rnacentral:rRNA from 1 species